rnacentral:rRNA from 11 species
AAACCGACACAGGUGGGUGGGAUGAGAAUUCUAAGGCGCUUGAGAGAACUCGGCUGAAGGAACUAGGCAAAAUGGUACCGUAACUUCGGGAGAAGGUACGCCGGAUUUGGUGAUGGGACUUGCUCCCUGAGCUGAAGCCGGUCGAAGAUACCAGGUGGCUGCGACUGUUUACUAAAAACACAGCACUCUGCAAACUCGUAAGAGGACGUAUAGGGUGUGACGCCUGCCCGGUGCUUGAAGGUUAAUUGAUGGGGUUAUCUUCGGAGAAGCUCUUGAUCGAAGCCCAAGUAAACGGCGGCCGUAACAAUAACGGUCCUAAGGUAGCG